rnacentral:lncRNA from 1 species
AACAUCUUUCUGAAACAGACACAGCAAAACUGGAUAACCUCUAUUACAUCAUGGUCCGUGAAAGGAAGGUUUGCAACCGUGUGGCUCAGGAGCAGCUCAACAAACAACAGCAGGUCAUCCAAAAACUGGUCAAGGAGCAGAAAGAACUCAAGAUAGACCUAAACAUUCUUAAUGCGGGUGCAAAGGCGACGCAGAAGGAUGAAAAGAGGAAGAAACUACAGACUCUGGCCGUAUUGUUGAUAGAUAAAACCCUAAAGCAAGGGAAGAGCUGUGAAGAAGAGCUAGACCAUGAGAUCACAACCAUGACAACCGAGACGAUAAAAUAUAAAAAACAAAAAUCUAUCGUGACUCAAUGUGCAGAGAGAGACCGGGUUCAGAACAAAGUACAGUAUCUGGAGAAGAAGCUGUUAAGAACUUUGAAUUACCUUGAUAGCCAAAGGAAUAAAAUCCAAGAACUGAAGAAAGAGCUGAAGAAUCAGCAUGAGGAGAGUGCCCGUUUACAGCUACACCGGACCACUUACCCACACAAAAAGGUUACUAAUGAUCUUGGCAUGUACAUUAGGGAUAAUAUGAAACGUACUACCCUCGCAUGUGAAGACAGGACCAGCGUUGACAAUAAGAUUAUGAUGAUGAAAAAGAAGGAAGAGAACACCCUUGCCAAAACCCAAAGAAAGAUAAAAGAACUUGCAGCACUAUUCCCCGAGGAAACUGUCCAAGAAGAAGUGGAGAUCCCGGAGGACACAGAGGAAAGCCCAGGUGAUGAAGAAGAGGUCCAAACGUAUGAAGCAGUAGAGUUCCAAGUGGACGAUGAAGAAGUGGUUAACCUGGAGGAUCUCGAAAAAGUCACCUUGGACUUGCUGGUCACCAAGUUCCUCCAGGGUAAGUUGAUUUUUACCAUUCACUUUGGAUUUUUUUUACAACCUACUGAUUCACUCUCUCACUUUGUAGAUGAAAACCAAAAAUGUGAACUUUACACUCUGAUAUGUGAUCAAAAAAAUGAAAUCCAGGAGCAUAACGAUAUUAUUCGGCAGGUAAGCAUGUCUUUAUCUUGUCCCCAUUUAGAAAUAAAGUAUUUAUAUUUGACUGAAUACACGUGA